rnacentral:misc_RNA from 1 species
GAUGAAGAACGUAGCGAAAUGCGAUAAGUAAUGUGAAUUGCAGAAUUCAGUGAAUCAUCGAAUCUUUGAACGCACAUUGCGCCCGCCAGUAUUCUGGCGGGCAUGCCUGUCCGAGCGUCAUUUCAACCCUCGCACCCCUCCGUGGGGUCGGCGUUGGGGACCUCGGGAGCCCCUAAGACGGGAUCCCGGCCCCGAAAUACAGUGGCGGUCUCGCCGCAGCCUCUCCUGCGCAGUAGUUUGCACAACUCGCACCGGGAGCGCGGCGCGUCCACGUCCGUAAAACACCCAACUUCUGAAAUGUUGACCUCGGAUCAGGUAGGAAUACCCGCUGAACUUAAGCAUAUCAAUAAGCGGAGGA